AACAGCUCACUAGUCUAGUUUUUUGGANCCGAAGGUAUAACGGGGCUAAGCUAAAUACCGAAUUUUUGGAUCGCCACAGCCGCAGGAUAGCGACUGUGACGGUGGUAGGCGAGUGUUAUAUUAGCGCUGAAGCUUAAUCGAGAGGAUAAGUGGAGCUAACAUAAGCAAGAAUGCCGGCGUGAGUAACGUAUGAAAGUGUAAAUCUUUCUAGCCGAUUGACCAAGGUUUCCAGGGCAAGGGUAAUCCACCCUGGGUUUGUCUGACCUAAGAUGAGGCCGAAAGGCGUAGUCGAUGGACAGCGAGUUAAUAUUCUUGCACUAAUUUGAUUGGCGAGGG
rnacentral:rRNA from 1 species